rnacentral:rRNA from 1 species
CUCGAGGUGGCUGCUUGGGACCCCCUCCUCCAAGACAUCGCCCUUAUGCCGGUGAACGUCGAGGAGAACCGGGAUGCUCUUUCCUGGCACCUUGAGCCCUCUGGCUGUUUCUUCACGAAGUCCCUGUACGCCGCCAUUGCGCCCUCGGCGGCCCCGGAACCCUUUAGCCUGAUCUGGGACAUCCGCCUACCGCUGAAGAUCAGGAUUUUCCAGUGGCAAUGGAUCCAUGGACGCCUCCCUUCUGGGGUUGAAGUCCUCAAGCGUAAUGGCCCAGGCGAUGGGAUUUGUCCCAUCUGUGGCACGGUAGAGGAUGCUAACCACAUCUUUUUCUUGUGCUACACUGCCCAGUUCCUAUGGGACUGCUUCCGCGAAAUGGUUGGCGGACAGUGGUGCAAUACCAACUUCCCCGACUUGCUUGCCGGGCUCAAUGCUUCCCCUACUCGCUACCACCAUAUUAGAUGGUUGUGCGUUGGGGUUCUAGCCUGGACGCUUUGGAACAUUCACAAUAAGCUUAUUAUUCAGAAGGUGCCCCUCCGACGUGCGACUGAUGCAAUCUUCAAAAUGUGUGGUUACUUGCAGCUUUGA